UAGCGUGCGCGUGCGGAUUAGCGCUACGCCGCCGCCGUCCUGUACUGCCGUGCCCUUGCCACCUGCUCGCCUCUGCUCUCCCUAAUCCCUAUCGAUCUGAUUCACAUGGUGACGCAUGCAGCUGAUUCACUGGCCAAUUCUUCAUGUUCAGCCAACGAACUAGCCAAGUGUAACCGAGGUCUAUGGACCUAUCAAAGGGUCUUGCUGCAUAUGGUUAUGGUUGCAUUGCGUGGAAGGGGCGAAUGGAGUGCUGAAAGCAGAAUCGUAGGAGAUGGUGCACAAUAUGAGGAAUGACAGUAAAGGCUUCAACUACGAUGAAGGAUUUCAAAGAGUAUAGACCACUGUAUGGCCGAAGGAGAUGCCAUUCUUGACUGUCGUUGUCCAUGGUGUGUUGCUGCUAUUUUUCUGGCCGGUAAUCUGUGCACUGCUGAGACCUUAGUCUGAGCACUGUUGGGCGUGCCCUCUGAUCAACUGUUCGCAAUCGUUGAAAUAAUUUUUUUCCAUGGCCGUUUUGUCGCUCAAAUUUCUAAUUUAUCUAGGUAGGGGUUUUGAUGAAUUUACUUCUUCUCCAUCGUGCAUUCUGAGGGCAGAAUUUCAUGGUAGUUCUCCAAAGCUGCUUGCCAAGAAAAAGGUUAUCUAGUGAUUGCUCUUCUCAAUGGACCAUGUUACGGGGGUAGAGAUAUAAUCAUACCUACAAAAUUUUAACGUUGGGGGUAGCUCUUAUCCCUUGCCAUGGAUUGCUGCAAAUUUUGAAAAACAUGGAUGUUCUUGUUAUAUCAUAUACUCCAUCCAAAUUAUAAUGUGUUCA